CAGACAUCACCCCUGCAGCAGCAGCAUCCACUGCUGCACCAGCAGACAUCACCCCUGCAGCAGCAUCCACUGCUGCACCAGCAGACAUCACCCCUGCAGCAGCAUCCACUGCUGCACCAGCAGACAUCACCCCUGCAGCAGCAGCAGCAUCCACUGCUGCACCAGCAGACAUCACCCCUGCAGCAGCAGCAUCCACUGCUGCAGCAGCAGACAUCACCCCUGCAGCAGCAUCCACUGCUGCAUCAGCAGACACUACCACCUCACCUGCAGAAGACACAACACCUGGAGCAGCAGCCACAGCUGAGCCCACCGCAGCUGAAAUCCCAGAGACAGCCUCACCUGCUGCAUCAGUCCCUCCACCUCCUGAAACAGCAGCCAUUGUCACUGCCAAUCCACAGACAAACGCAGCAACUACAGGCUCAGAAGAGCUCGUUCCCCUGCCUAACUAUGUGAAGCUGUUGUUGCUGAAAUACCUAAACCGCCUGUGCCAGCCAAGGAGACCUGGGAUGCCAGAAGUAAUACUGGAAGGGUGUGUAAAGGAUCCAACCUGUGGGAAUCAGCCUUCACCAGGCCAGAGGCUCAUCCAGCUCCGUUAUGGGGCUGCUGUAAACCCCAGACUCUGCCUGAGGUGCAAAGUAUCAGGGUGCAAUGCAUCCCCUCCUCCUCCUCCUGUCAGACCAUUCCCAGGGAACAGGUUCCCUCCUGUCAGACCAUUCCCAGGGAACAGGCUCCCUCCUGUCAGACCAUUCCCAGGGAACAGGCUCCCUCCUGUCAGACCCUUCCCAGUGAACAGGUUCCCUCCUGUCAGACCUUUCCCACGGAACAGGCUCCCUCCUCCCAGACCCAUCCCAUGGAACAGGAGAAGAGCCAGGAGAAGCGCAAGCGAUGUCGUUAUUGUCAUCGUCUCCUAGUAAUGAUGCUUCUGACCAUGACAUUAUGUUGAGCACCUCUAGACCUGUUCAUUGUGUUCCAGAUCUGCUGCUCAUUUCUAAAAAUAUGCUAGUGGGUGUAAAUCUAAAGGUAUUUCAUCUUAAAUGAACUUGGGUUGCUUAAAUUCAGAUCUUUCGAAUCUAUGCGGCGGAUCUUGUAAAAGCCUGAACUUCAAUAAAUACUCUCAGUGACAAAAAAUAAUUGG
rnacentral:lncRNA from 1 species